rnacentral:snRNA from 1 species
GUGUUUGCUUCGGCAGCACAUAUACUAAAUUGGAAUGAUACAGAGAAGAUUAGCAUGGCCCCUGCACAAGGAUGACACGCAAAGUCGUGAAGCGUUCCAUUAAAAA